rnacentral:rRNA from 1 species
UACGUAGGGUGCAAGCGUUGUCCGGAAUUAUUGGGCGUAAAGAGCUCGUAGGCGGUUCGUCGCGUCGGCCGUGAAAACCUGGGGCUUAACUCUGGGCUUGCGGUCGAUACGGGCAUCACUGGAGUUCGGCAGGGGAGACUGGAAUUCCUGGUGUAGCGGUGAAAUGCGCAGAUAUCAGGAGGAACACCGGUGGCGAAGGCGGGUCUCUGGGCCGAUACUGACGCUGAGGAGCGAAAGCGUGGGGAGCGAACAGG